rnacentral:rRNA from 1 species
GGCGAACGCUGGCGGCGUGCCUAAUACAUGCAAGUAGAACGCUGAAGGGGGAGCUUGCUUCUCUGGAUGAGUUGCGAACGGGUGAGUAACGCGUAGGUAACCUGCCUGGUAGCGGGGGAUAACUAUUGGAAACGAUAGCUAAUACCGCAUAAUAGUAGAUGUUGCAUGACAUUUGCUUAAAAGGUGCAAUUGCAUCACUACCAGAUGGACCUGCGUUGUAUUAGCUAGUUGGGGGGGUAACGGCUCACCAAGGCGACGAUACAUAGCCGACCUGAGAGGGUGAUCGGCCACACUGGGACGGAGACACGGCCCAGACUCCUACGGGAGGCAGCAGUAGGGAAUCUUCGGCAAUGGACGGAAGUCUGACCGAGCAACGCCGCGUGAGUGAAGAAGGUUUUCGGAUCGUAAAGCUCUGUUGUAAGAGAAGAACGAGUGUGAGAGUGGAAAGUUCACACUGUGACGGUAUCUUACCAGAAAGGGACGGCUAACUACGUG